rnacentral:rRNA from 1 species
AACGAACGCUGGCGGCGUGUUUAAGACAUGCAAGUCGAACGGGGUGAAGUUGUAGCAAUACCGCUUCAUCCAGUGGCGCACGGGUGCGUAACACGUGAGUUACAUGCCCUGCAGUGGGGAAUAGCCCGCCGAAAGGCGGAUUAAUACCCCAUGGUUCCCGCGAGGGUAAAGGUGGCCGCAAGGCUGCCGCUGCAGGAUUGGCUCGCAGCCUAUCAGCUUGUUGGCGGGGUAACGGCCCACCAAGGCGACGACGGGUACCUGGUCUGAGAGGAUGAUCAGGCACACUGGAACUGAGACACGGUCCAGACACCUACGGGUGGCAGCAGUCGAGAAUAAUUCACAAUGGGCGAAAGCCUGAUGGUGCAACGCCGCGUGGAGGAUGAAGGUCUUCGGAUUGUAAACUCCUGUCAUCGGGGAGUAAGACCUGGGCGUGAAUAGCGCACAGGGUUGAUAGUACCCGAAGAGGAAGGGACGGCUAACUUCGUGCCAGCCGCCGCAGUAAUAC